CAAACCCUCACGCCGCGGCUUUGUGUCUGUACUUUAGCCAAAACGCAGAAGCUUAUGGCCACCCUCCACUCCUCACCCCUCAUCCCUCACCACCUGCCUUUCAAUUCUCGGAACGAGCGACGUGACACAAGAGGUCCCAAGGGAGCAAACCUGAAAGCCAGAGCCUCCUGAAUACACAGACUGCCGGUGGGCCAGAUGACAUUAGACACUCCUGAGAUACGAGAAGCAUCACUUCCUUCAGACAGAGUCGGUGAGACUAUGAUGUAAUGAGAGUUCUCCUUGUGUUCCUCAGGAAGGCAGCUUGUGCCUUUCUACUUGAGGCAUCAUCUUUGAUGGCUAAAGAAUUCUGCAGCUUGGCCAGCGCGGUGGCUUACGCCUGUAAUCCCAACACUUUGGGAGGCCGAAGCGAGAGGAUCACUUGAGGUCAGGAAUUCGAGACCAGCCUGGACAACAUAAUGAGAAAUCGUCUCUACAAAAAAAAAAAAAAAAAAAAAAAAAAAAAAAAAAAAAACCACCUAAAAAUUAGCUGGAUUUGGUGGCGCAUGUCUGUAGUCCCAGCUACUUGGGAGGCUGAGGUGGGAGAAUCGCUUGAGCGUGGGAGAUCACGGCUGCAGUGAUCAAGCCAUUCCAGUCCAGCCUGGGCGACAGAGCAAGCCCCUGUCUCAAUAAUAAUAACAGUUUUGCAGCCUGAUUGUUAACGAAUGUUACUAGUUACAAACUUGUAAUAAUGUGGUGAAGAUAAUACCUAGUUAAUGUCUGCUGGGGUGGGGCAAUAAGCUUCUAUGUGCUUUACAUGCAUAACCUAAAUAUCUCCCCCAAAAUCCUCUAAAAUAGCUAUCAUUUUCUCCGUUUUUACAAAUGAGCAAAUUUUAAAGCUUAAACCUUAGAGAAACUUUUCUAAGUUCAUAUACUUGGGAAAUAAAGGCAACAAUUUCAUUGGAA